rnacentral:rRNA from 1 species
UUGAGYUUGAUCMUGGCUCAGAUUGAACGCUGGCGGCAGGCCUAACACAUGCAAGUCGAGCGGAAACGAUGGAAGCUUGCUUCCAGGCGUCGAGCGGCGGACGGGUGAGUAAUGCAUGGGAAUCUGCCCGAUAGUGGGGGAUAACCUGGGGAAACCCAGGCUAAUACCGCAUACGUCCUACGGGAGAAAGCAGGGGAUCUUCGGACCUUGCGCUAUCGGAUGAGCCCAUGUCGGAUUAGCUUGUUGGUGAGGUAAUGGCUCACCAAGGCGACGAUCCGUAGCUGGUCUGAGAGGAUGAUCAGCCACAUCGGGACUGAGACACGGCCCGAACUCCUACGGGAGGCAGCAGUGGGGAAUAUUGGACAAUGGGCGAAAGCCUGAUCCAGCCAUGCCGCGUGUGUGAAGAAGGCCCUCGGGUUGUAAAGCACUUUCAGUGGGGAAGAA